rnacentral:rRNA from 1 species
UACGUAGGGGGCGAGCGUUGUCCGGAAUUAUUGGGCGUAAAGAGCUUGUAGGCGGUUUGUCGCGUCUGCUGUGAAAAUCCGGGGCUCAACCCCGGACCUGCAUCCGAUACUGCGUGACUAGAGGUAGGUAGGGGAGAUCGGAAUUCCUGGUGUAGCGGUGAAAUGCGCAGAUAUCAGGAGGAACACCGGUGGCGAAGGCGGAUCUCUGGGCCUUACCUGACGCUCAGGCGCGAAAGCUAGGGGAGCGAACAGG